GCGGAGGAAAAGAAACCAACAGGGAUUGCCUCAGUAACGGCGAGUGAAGCGGCAUCAGCUCAAAUUUGAAAUCUGGUCUCACGAUCCGAGUUGUAAUUUGUAGAGAAUGCUUCGGGCGAGGUCCGGUCUAAGUUCCUUGGAACAGGACGUCAUAGAGGGUGAGAAUCCCGUAUGCGACCGGGUGCCUCCGCCCAUGUGAAGCUUCUUCGACGAGUCGAGUUGUUUGGGAAUGCAGCUCAAAAUGGGUGGUAAAUUUCAUCUAAAGCUAAAUACUGGCCAGAGACCGAUAGCGCACAAGUAGAGUGAUCGAAAGAUGAAAAGCACUUUGGAAAGAGAGUUAAACAGUACGUGAAAUUGUUGAAAGGGAAGCGCUUGCAACCAGACUUGCGCGUGGCCGAUCAUCCGGUGUUCUCACCGGUGCACUCGGUUGCGCUCAGGCCAGCAUCGGUUUCGGUGGUUGGAUAAAGGCCCGGGGAAUGUAGCUCCUCUCGGGGAGUGUUAUAGCCCUGGGUGCAAUGCAGCCUACCGGGACCGAGGACCGCGCUUCGGCUAGGAUGCUGGCGUAAUGGUUGUAAGCGACCCGUCUUGAAACACGGACCAAGGAGUCUAACAUCUAUGCGAGUGUUUGGGUGUCAAACCCAUACGCGUAAUGAAAGUGAACGGAGGUGAGAACCCUUAAGGGUGCAUCAUCGACCGAUCCUGAAGUCUUCGGAUGGAUUUGAGUAAGAGCAUAGCUGUUGGGACCCGAAAGAUGGUGAACUAUGCCUGAAUAGGGUGAAGCCAGAGGAAACUCUGGUGGAGGCUCGCAGCGGUUCUGACGUGCAAAUCGAUCGUCAAAUUUGGGUAUAGGGGCGAAAGACUAAUCGAACCAU
rnacentral:rRNA from 1 species